rnacentral:rRNA from 1 species
AGUGAACGCUGGCGGUAGGCCUAACACAUGCAAGUCGAACGGCAGCACAGUAAGAGCUUGCUCUUACGGGUGGCGAGUGGCGGACGUGUGAGGAAUACAUCGGAAACUACUUUUUCGUGGGGGAUAACGUAGGGAAACUUACGCUAAUACCGCAUACGACCUACGGGUGAAAGCAGGGGAUCUUCGGACCUUGCGCGAUUGAAUGAGCCGAUGUCGGAUUAGCUAGUUGGCGGGGUAAAUGCCCACCAAGGCGACGAUCCGUAGCUGGUCUGAGAGGAUGAUCAGCCACACUGGAACUGAGACACGGUCCAGACUCCUACGGGAGGCAGCAGUGGGGAAUAUUGGACAAUGGGCGCAAGCCUGAUCCAGCCAUACCGCGUGGGUGAAGAAGGCCUUCGGGUUGUAAAGACCUUUUGUUGGGAAAGAAAAGCAGCAGGUUAAUACCCCGCUGUUCUGACGGUACCCAAAGAAUAAGCACCGGCUAACUUCGUG